GCUGGGUGUGGUGGCACGUGCCUGUAAUCCCAGCUACUCAGGAGGCUGAAGCAGGAGAAUUGCUUGAACCCAGGAGGUGGAGGUUGCAGUGAGCUGAGAUCGUGCCACUGCACUCCAGCCUGGGCGACAGAGUGAGAAUCUGUCUCAAAAAAAAAAAAGAAAAGCUUCAAAUAAUUUUUUUCAUAGAAUAUUUUACUCUGUCACUCAGGCUGGAGUGCAGUGGUGCAAUCACGGCUCACCACAGCCUCGACCUCCACAGGAUCAAGCAAUCCUGC
rnacentral:lncRNA from 1 species